rnacentral:rRNA from 1 species
GACACCAGUGGCGAAGCGCUGUCUGUCUGUACUGACGCUGAGGCUCGAAAGUAUGGGUAGCAAACAGGAUUAGAUACCUGGUAGUCCAUACCAUAAACGAUGAAUGCUAAGUGUUGGAGGGUUCCGCCUUUCAGUGCUGCAGCUAACGCAUUAAGCAUUCCGCUGGGGAGUACGGCCACAAGGCUGAAACUCAAAGGAAUUGACGGGGGCCCGCACAAGCGGUGGAGCAUGUGGUUUAAUUCGAAGCUACGCGAAGAACCUUACCAGGUCUUGACAUACUAUGCAAAUCUAAGAGAUUAGACGUUCCCUUCGGGGACAUGGAUACAGGUGGUGCAUGGUUGUCGUCAGCUCGUGUCGUGAGAUGUUGGGUUAAGUCCCGCAACGAGCGCAACCCUUAUUAUCAGUUGCCAGCAUUAAGUUGGGCACCCUGGUGAGACUGCCGGUGACAAACCGGAGGAAGGUGGGGACGACGUCAAAUCAUCAUGCCCCUUAUGACCUGGGCUACACACGUGCUACAAUGGAUGGUACAACGAGUUGCGAACUCGCGAGAGUAAGCUAAUCUCUUAAAGCCAUUCUCAGUUCGGAUUGUAGGCUGCAACUCGCCUACAUGAAGUCGGAAUCGCUAGUAAUCGCGGAUCAGCAUGCCGCAGUGAAUACGUUCCCGGGCCUUGUACACACCGCCCGUCACACCAUGAGAGUUUGUAACACCCAAAGUCGGUGGGGUAACCUUUAGGAACCAGCCGCCUAAGGUGGGACAGAUGAUUAGGGUGAAGUCGUAACAAGGUAACCA